rnacentral:rRNA from 1 species
AGUGAACGCUGGCGGUAGGCCUAACACAUGCAAGUCGAACGGCAGCACAGUAAGAGCUUGCUCUUACGGGUGGCGAGUGGCGGACGGGUGAGGAAUACAUCGGAAUCUACUUUUUCGUGGGGGAUAACGUAGGGAAACUUACGCUAAUACCGCAUACGACCUACGGGUGAAAGCAUGGGAUCUUCGGACCUUGCGCGAUUGAAUGAGCCGAUGUCGGAUUAGCUAGUUGGCGGGGUAAAGGCCCACCAAGGCGACGAUCCGUAGCUGGUCUGAGAGGAUGAUCAGCCACACUGAAACGGGGACACGGUCCAGACUCCUACGGGAGGAAGCAGUGGGGAAUAUUGGAAAAUGGGCGAAGGCCUGAUCCAGCCAUACCGCGUGGGUGAAGAAGGCCUUCGGGUUGUAAAGCCCUUUUGUUGGGAAAGAAAAGCAGCAGGUUAAUCCCCCGCUGUUCUGACGGUACCCAAAGAAUAAGCCCCGGCUAACUUCG